rnacentral:tRNA from 1 species
GGUAAAAUGGCUGAGUUAAGCGGCGGUUUGUAGCUCCGACGACAGGGAAAAAAUCCCUUUUUAUCA